GCCGGAAAACCUAUCGAUCGAAAACGGAUAUUAUAAAUAUUUAUAUUGUAAUUACGUGACGUGUAUAUAUAUAUAUAUAUAGGUGGUUCCUAUGUAUAAUAAUAUUAUACCGUUGGGAUUACUUUGCGAAUAAAAUUAUCGAAACCGAACCCCGCGCGCGUAUUGAAUGAUCGUAUAUCCUAUGUGUACCUAUUAUAAUACGAUAUGUUCGGUGUAAAAUAAUAUAUUAUACAUGAAACAUAUAUAUAUAUAUAUAUAUAUAUAUAUGUAAUCGUGUGUACGCGACUCGUGUGCGGGAGACAGAAAAACGAAAAAAUUAAAACUCGAAAAUUUCGUGCGCGCACGAUUUUCCGAG